CCCCAUGGUCUAGCCUCUCACAGUGUGCUCUCACGACCCACAAGCCCAGGCCGUGCUGAUUGAUGUGACCCUAUAAAGAGCCAGCUGGGCCACACGAGCUGGGUGAAGCUUAAUAAGGGCAUUUUGAAGCUGAUAAGAGCCAGAGCUGCUCGUUAAGAUUCCGGGGGCUGCGGAUUCCUCUGUGCAGUACUUCGUCUUCUUCAUCAUCAUCUCCUCUCUGUCUUAAGUGCAGCAGAUAAAGCUCACUGAGCGUUCGGAGGGUGACACAAGAGAGCAAACGCAGGAGCCUUUGAUUUUUAAAGGACUACAUUAAAAGGCGCUUGUGACAUUAAAGGGUCCCAGGUUCCAGCUGGGAUCAAGGACAAAUGGCUGAGCAGCCUCCUUACUGGGUUAUAGAAAUGUAUUUGGGACAAGAGGUGGCAGUGGCUGUGGGCUAGCAUUCAGAGACCUGGUGUGGCUCUGUCAUCCCCAAAUAGACAGUGGAUGUGUCCUCAGUGACUUCAGGCCUCAGUUUCCCUGGUUUCAAGCUGGCGGGGGGGGGAGGGAAGGGGGAGGGGGAGUAAGAUUUAGAGCAGUCUCACUUCUGCGUGGACCAUUCCCUCCCACUGGGAGCAUCUUGCACAUCACUUGAGCCUAGGAUAGGUCAGUGACAGUGAAGACAAUGCUGGCCCGGUGUGAGCAGCCAGGCAGGCUGUGGUCCAGGAUGCCACAAGAACCUCAUUUGAUUCUUUAACUCCAGCAGCUGCCACUCCCAAUAGAGGACACCUUCUUCAAGUCAUCCAGUGCCCAUACCACACCUGGUUAAGUCACCUCCUUCCAGAGGGAGACAGAAGACAUGGGGAGACAGAGAGAGGAAGACAGAGACAGACGGAGACAGACAGAUAAGACCAUAGAGGGAGAGAGACAGAGACAUAGAGAUAAGACAAUAGAGGAGCAGAGACAUACAGAGACAAAAACACAAGAGAUAGGAACAAGCAGUGAGGUGCCUUUUCUUUUUCUGUUCCUUUGACAAUCUAAAGACAAAAGCUACAGACCUGCUCCCAAAGGACACUCAGGUCAACCCCAAUGCACUGUACAUGAGGAAAUGGCCAUUCUAGAACUCAGCUGCCCUCUGGGCACCUAACGGAGAAGUUAAACCUGAGGUUGGCUGCAGAUUCAAGUUCCUGCUCAGAUAUAACAAACCCACUGGAUGGAGGGAUUAGAUCUCCCUUCACCAGAGCCAAAAUGGAUGAAAUUGAGAGGCGAAAUGCAAAGAAAGAUAUCUGACAGCCCACGAGAGCAGCGGCACCAUCUUCACUGGGAAAGGAUCCAUUUUCUUGCCCCGAAUGGCUACAUCUCCAGGGAACCUGCAGGCUUGAGCAGAAGAGGGUCAGAUUUCCCACAGAUCCAUGGCUGGGGUUUCUGGUGCGCAACCCCCCUCCAAUCCCCCCAAUUCACAUUGUUUGAAUUCACUUACUGAGAGCAAAAUCCAACUGAAAGUAAAAAGACACUCAGAGAUGCUUAUUUUAAAGAA